UACGUAGGUGGCAAGCGUUGUCCGGAUUUACUGGGCGUAAAGAGCGCGCAGGCGGUCGAUCAAGUCGAGUGUGAAAGCCCCCGGCUCAACUGGGGAGGGUCACUCGAUACUGAUCGACUCGAAGGCAGGAGAGGGUAGUGGAAUUCCCGGUGUAGUGGUGAAAUGCGUAGAUAUCGGGAGGAACACCAGUGGCGAAGGCGACUACCUGGCCUGUUCUUGACGCUGAGGCGCGAAAGCUAGGGGAGCAAACGGG
rnacentral:rRNA from 1 species